rnacentral:rRNA from 1 species
AACGAACGCUGGCGGCAGGCCUCAAACAUGCAAGUCUAGGGGGUGCAGCAAUGCAUCACCGGCGGACGGGUGCGUAACGCGUGGGAAUAUACCUUUUGGUUUCGGAACAACUGCGGGAAACUGCAGCUAAUACCGAAUGUGCCCUAACGGGGAAAGAUUUAUCGCCAAAGGAUUAGCCCGCGUAGGAUUAGCUAGUUGGUGAGGUAAUGGCUCACCAAGGCUCCGAUCCUUAGCNGUUCUGAGAGGAAGAUCAGCCACACUGGGACUGAGACACGGCCCAGACUCCUACGGGAGGCAGCAGUUGGGAAUCUUGGACAAUGGGGAAACCCUGAUCCAGCCAUGCCGCGUGAGUGAUGAAGGCCUUCGG